rnacentral:rRNA from 1 species
GAUGAACGCUGGCGGCGUGCCUAAUACAUGCAAGUCGAGCGAACAGACGAGGAGCUUGCUCCUCUGACGUUAGCGGCGGACGGGGGAGUAACACGUGGAUCACCUACCUAUAAGACUGGGAUAACUUCGGGAAACCGGAGCUAAUACCGGAUAAUAUAUUGAACCGCAUGGUUCAAUAGUUAAAGACGGUUUUGCUUUCAGUUAUAGAUGGUUCCGCGCCGCCUUAGCUAGUUGGUAAGGUAGCGGCUUACCAAGGCAACGAUGCGUAGCCGACCUCAGAGGGUGAUGGGCCACACUGGAACUGGGACACGGUCCAGACUCCUACGGGAGGGAGAAGUAGGGAAUCGUACGCAGGGGGCGAGAGCUUGACGGAGCAGCGCCGCGUGAGUGAGGAAGAUGUUCGGAUCGGGAAACUCAGUUAUUAGGGACGAACAAAUGUGUAAGUAACUAUGCACGUCUUGACGGUACCGAAAGAGAAAGCCCCGGCUAACUACGUG